ensembl:lncRNA
GUCUCUUACUGCCUGUCUGGGCAGGGCCCCGCCUCCUCCCUCAAUUGUCCUACUAUUUUAGUCUCAGAGUAUCGGUCCACAGAGAACCAGUGCCAACUGUUUGCUCCGGGGCCCAUCUGUCUCCUGCCUCAGGAUGACUGGCAAGCAGUCCCCUGUUGACACAGUGUAGUGAUGAUUUCACCCCAGUGAUUCUGGUUCCUCUCUAGAAAUAGCUCCUCACUGAAGCCACAGAGAAAAUCCAAAUUUCCCAGGAAAAUAAGACGGAGGAAUUGGGGAUUAGGAAACAUAUCACUCACGCCCUGAGCUCCCAGGGCAGCAACAGAGCUACAGCAGCAUUCAUCUGGGGCCACAGGGUCCCUGGGCAGAUGCAGGCUGUCCCUUCCCGGCCUUCAUCUGGGCCCCUGCAGGGGGGACCCUUGCGCUAGGAGGGUCAAGCGGAGCAGAGCUUCCUCAGUGCAACCUCAAAAGUCGAACUACUCAAUUCGGCCCUGCCCUGGAGCUCCAGUGGAGAUGUUGAAUGCAAAUGAGGAUCAGCAUGUGUAUGAUGAUUCAGAGCAGUUGUAACAGGUGUGUGUCUAUCGACGUGUAUGUUAGAUGAACGCACGCCUGCGUGUGAGGAUGCUGUCUGGAGGCACUUCGGGGGCCAUGUAUGCUCCUGUGCAGGCACCUCCAGGGACUUAAGCUGCUUUAGAGGCUCCCACUGCUAAUGCGAGCUGCAUCUUCC